CAGCCGCCGCGGUAAUACGGAGGGUGCAAGCGUUAAUCGGAAUUACUGGGCGUAAAGCGUGGGUAGGCGGUUCGUUAAGUCUGUUGUGAAAGCCCCGGGCUCAACCUGGGAAUGGCAAUGGAUACUGGCGAGCUAGAGUGUGUCAGAGGAUGGUGGAAUUCCCGGUGUAGCGGUGAAAUGCGUAGAGAUCGGGAGGAACAUCAGUGGCGAAGGCGGCCAUCUGGGACAACACUGACGCUGAGGCACGAAAGCGUGGGGAGCAAACAGGAUUAGAUACCCCCGUAGUCCCUGUCUCUUAUAC
rnacentral:rRNA from 1 species